UUGACCUCAAAUCGGGUGAGACUACCCGCUGAACUUAAGCAUAUCAAUAAGCGGAGGAAAAGAAACUAACAAGGAUUCCCCUAGUAACUGCGAGUGAAGCGGGAAAAGCUCAAAUUUAAAAUCUGGUGGUCUUUGGCCAUCCGAGUUGUAAUUUAGAGAAGCGUCUUCCGCGCUGGACCAUGCACAAGUCUCCUGGAAUGGAGCGUCAUAGAGGGUGAGAAUCCCGUCUUUGGCAUGGACCCCAGGGCUUCUGUGAUGCGCUCUCAAAGAGUCGAGUUGUUUGGGAAUGCAGCUCAAAAUGGGUGGUGAACUCCAUCUAAAGCUAAAUAUUGGCGAGAGACCGAUAGCGAACAAGUACCGUGAGGGAAAGAUGAAAAGCACUUUGGAAAGAGAGUGAAACAGUACGUGAAAUUGUUGAAAGGGAAACGCUUGAAGUCAGUCGCGUCGACCGAGACUCAGCCUUGCCUCGGCUUGGUGUACUUCUCGGCUGACGGGUCAGCAUCAAUUUCGAUCCUUGGAUAAUGGCAAGGGAAAGGUAGCACCUUUACAGGUGUGUUAUAGUCCUCUGUCGAAUGCAAGGGUUGGGAUUGAGGAACUCAGCAUGCGCCUUGUCGGUGUCGGGGCCUUUUGGCCUACGUACGUGCU
rnacentral:rRNA from 1 species